CACCUACAUGCACGUGCACACAAGUGAGCGAUCACUAAUAAAUCACAGACACAUCAACAGUGUUUUAGCUUCAGCGCCGGCGUUGUCAAACUUUCAAUCAUACCUGCAGCCAGUUCUUUGAAGCUCUCAUAUGGGCUGAAUGGCGGCUGUUUUCCACCAUCAUCGCAGAGCAUUCCUCCAGCAGAUCCAACAAAACCCGCGACUCCGGCAGCUGUGCUCCGAAGCAGUUUGCUAAUGUGAUGCUAACUAGCUAAAGAAUCCCAACAUAUAUGAGAUAAUUGCGUGCACCUGUGAGGUGGGGGCGUGCCCCCCGAGGUGGCCUAUUGGCCGCCAAACUGACUUAAGGGAGAUAGUGAGCGCAAAGACAGGAGAAGAGACACACGGAAAGCGAAGAGCAGGAAACCGAACGUGUGCAGACGAGCGCACGUAUAGAAGGACCGGCCUGCCUGUGCGGCGUCGCGAGACUUCCGGCGAUCGGCCAGCAUAACCCGGCGAUUCAGUUCUGACGGACAGAAUAGCAACAGUGGGAGGCGACGCGUGAAAUCCACAGUAGGGCAGAGGGGACGCCUCUGCCUGCAUCCGUGAGUAUCGCUUUCCCACUGUUGGACGCUAGGCGUGGCUUUGCCGGGGAGGGGUAACAGUGGCUGUGCCGACUACGUUGCUGGCCCGUGUUUGUUGUUUUAGGGCCGGGCUACGAGGGAAGCCGUGUGCGGGUGCGGAGAGUGGCUGGACUGCACGGUCACGCGCCGCCAGGUGGGGAUAGGAGCCUCCUCCCUGGCCUUCUGCUGGCGAGAUUUCCCCAUCCCGGAAGAGGAGCUCCCCUUCUGCGUCUUUCAGCUAAGGAACAUUUGCCCGAGUGUGUGUGGUUGGACACUGGGAAUAGAGGACUCUGGGGGGGAAGUUUUAUCGUAUAAAAAGGACAUUCAUUUAGCUUUGAUUUUUUUAAUUGUAUUUUAAUCUCUGCCGGCAGGGCUUUUUAGUGGGUUGGGAACAUUUAUUUUUUUAUUGUAUAGUGGGGAUUUUAACUCCUACUUGUGAUUCUGGCUGUUCUUCUAAAAAAAUAAAUGGUGUGUUUAAAGC